rnacentral:rRNA from 1 species
UGAGUGGCGGACGGGUGAGUAACACGUGGGUAACCUGCCCAGAAGCAGGGGAUAACACCUGGAAACAGAUGCUAAUACCGUAUAACAGAGAAAACCGCCUGGUUUUCUUUUAAAAGAUGGCUCUGCUAUCACUUCUGGAUGGACCCGCGGCGCAUUAGCUAGUUGGUGAGGUAACGGCUCACCAAGGCGAUGAUGCGUAGCCGACCUGAGAGGGUAAUCGGCCACAUUGGGACUGAGACACGGCCCAGACUCCUACGGGAGGCAGCAGUAGGGAAUCUUCCACAAUGGACGCAAGUCUGAUGGAGCAACGCCGCGUGAGUGAAGAAGGGUUUCGGCUCGUAAAGCUCUGUUGUUAAAGAAGAACGUGGGUGAGAGUAACUGUUCACCCAGUGACGGUAUUUAACCAGAAAGCCACGGCUAACUACGUGCCAGCAGCCGCGGUAAUACGUAGGUGGCAAGCGUUAUCCGGAUUUAUUGGGCGUAAAGCGAGCGCAGGCGGUCUUUUAAGUCUAAUGUGAAAGCCUUCGGCUCAACCGAAGAAGUGCAUUGGAAACUGGGAGACUUGAGUGCAGAAGAGGACAGUGGAACUCCAUGUGUAGCGGUGAAAUGCGUAGAUAUAUGGAAGAACACCAGUGGCGAAGGCGGCUGUCUGGUCUGUAACUGACGCUGAGGCUCGAAAGCAUGGGUAGCGAACAGGAUUAGAUACCCUGGUAGUCCAUGCCGUAAACGAUGAUUACUAAGUGUUGGAGGGUUUCCGCCCUUCAGUGCUGCAGCUAACGCAUUAAGUAAUCCGCCUGGGGAGUACGACCGCAAGGUUGAAACUCAAAAGAAUUGACGGGGGCCCGCACAAGCGGUGGAGCAUGUGGUUUAAUUCGAAGCUACGCGAAGAACCUUACCAGGUCUUGACAUCUUCUGCCAACCUAAGAGAUUAGGCGUUCCCUUCGGGGACAGAAUGACAGGUGGUGCAUGGUUGUCGUCAGCUCGUGUCGUGAGAUGUUGGGUUAAGUCCCGCAACGAGCGCAACCCUUAUUACUAGUUGCCAGCAUUCAGUUGGGCACUCUAGUGAGACUGCCGGUGACAAACCGGAAGGAAGGUGGGGACGACGUCAAAUCAUCAUGCCCCUUAUGACCUGGGCUACACACGUGCUACAAUGGAUGGUACAACGAGUCGCGAAACCGCGAGGUUUAGCUAAUCUCUUAAAACCAUUCUCAGUUCGGACUGUAGGCUGCAACUCGCCUACACGAAGUCGGAAUCGCUAGUAAUCGCGGAUCAGCAUGCCGCGGUGAAUACGUUCCCGGGCCUUGUACACACCGCCCGUCACACCAUGAGAGUUUG